rnacentral:rRNA from 1 species
UACAGAGGUCUCAAGCGUUGUUCGGAUUCAUUGGGCGUAAAGGGUGCGUAGGUGGCGGGGUUAGUCGGGUGUGAAAUCUCGGGGCUCAACCCCGAAACUGCACUUGAUACUGCCUUGCUAGAGUACUGGAGAGGAGAUUGGAAUUUACGGUGUAGCAGUGAAAUGCGUAGAUAUCGUAAGGAAGACCAGUGGCGAAGGCGAAUCUCUGGACAGUUACUGACACUGAGGCACGAAGGCCAGGGGAGCAAACGGG